CACUCCGGCAGCACCCAGGCCGGCAGCAGCCACCCCCGAGCGGAGCAGGCUCCCCGCUGCCCGCGGCCGCCAUUUUCCCUCCCCUCACGCCAUUCCCCCCCUCAGCCUCCGCGCAGGCGCAGCGUCCCGCGGGGCGGGGGCUCGGGGCGCUGCCUCACGGGGGCCGGCGGCGUGCGCGGCCUCCCCGCGCUGCGGAGGGAGGAAACGUUAAUAGUAGGAAAUGGCAGAAGCAGUUUUCCGUCCCCCGAGGAGGAAAAGAAGAGUGUUUGAGUCGUACGAAGCCCCCUUUCCCGUGGAUGUAGGUGGGGAGGAUUUCAGAAUGUGCCAGGCUGAAAUUAUGAACAACAAUGUUAUUGUGAGGAACCCCGAGGACAUUGAGCGGCUCUAUAACAAGGGUUAUUUUGGAAAAGGUAUUCUUUCGAAAAGUCGACCAGUGUACAGCAUUUCCAAUCCUUACUUGGUUUCUAAAUGGCAAGGUAAAUUGUGCCCAUUUGUACUUUAUUCACUAACUAAUAAUACUUUUGAUUUCUCUUCACUUGUUGAAGAUAUACGUGUAUUAUCUUCAUAUAUACAUAUAUAUUAUAUUAUAUUAUAUACAAUGUAUAUACUAUAUAUUAUAUAUAGUAUAUAAUAAUAUAUAAUAUACUUCAUAUAUAUAUAUAUAUAUUUCAUAUAUUAUAUACAUGUAUAAACAGCACACAGAGUCUGUUGUGCCAGAUCAAAAUCCAUCUAUUCCCAUAUCUUGUCUCUGAUGAUGGCCAGUACAAGAUUCCCGGAAAAAAUACAUAUGUUGAUAUCUCCCUAGCGCAUUUUUCUAACCUCCACUAAUUUGUUUUGAGACUCCGUUAAGUAAAGGUGUAUUCGUUGGAUGUGUCUUCCCAUAACUGUCCAGUUUUUCUAGGUUUUAAUCUGCAGAUUUAGUGUCCAUGAAAUCAUGAGGCAAGGAUAUGUGAAAACUAUCUACUAGUUGCUAGUAGUUGCUGGUGUGCUCUUGGUUCCUUAGAGAAAGACUGUCGUGCUUUAUCCAUCUGUUCCAUGACAAUUAAGUCUACACAGACCUUACUGGAUUUUAUAAUAUCCUUGCAGAAUUGUCUUUUUAAAAGCUGGAGAAAAAUAGUUUAUUUAGUUAUCCUGUGUAGACCAUUUCAUCUUCAUUACCUCUGCACCUUUUCUAGUUCUCGUGUGUCCUUAAUACACGUAGGACCAAAAUGGUACAAUAUUGAAAAUGUACUAAUAAUUGAAAAUUAUUAGGCUGUAGAUUGUCUCAAUGAUCAAAAUGUCAUGAAAACUUUUUAAUGUUGAUGAAGCAAUGUACAAUUUUUCUUAAUACAGGUGCUAACGUAAACAUAUUAUAACGUAUUAUACAGCUCCUUACUUCAGCAGGGAGCCUUCGCAAUUCCCGCUCCUCAAGCAGAACUCCUUGUUUUUAUAAUACAAAAGGCAAUGAACAAACAUUUAUUGCGUAUUACAAUCCCUCCUUUUUCUUUUAGUUACUCAUUUUGUUCAUUGAAGCUCUGCAAUGCCUGGCUACUAAGAACUAAUGUUUCCUUGAUUCCUUCGCUGGUACUUAUUGGCUCGUAUUUGAAACUGGGAGCACCCGCUGUCGUUUGCUGGAUGAUGAAUUGAUCCUUUCAUCUGAUCAAGCUCCAUUUAAAAGGCUGAUGGGGAUGCGCAGACCCAUAGCUGACCAAAACGAUGAUACUGACUCCCGUGUAUCGUAGGAGGUGGUUGGAGCCCAUCUAAAUUGGCGGCCCCUCAGUCCCCCACCGUUUUCACUUCUCUGCCUCGCUUGUCAGUUCGGUUGCAGCGAACUACAAGGUAUCGGUUCUUCUUGACAGCAGCAGUGUUCUUCAGGGGAACCUACUAGGAAGCCUUUGAAACAGGGCCUCCUCCCCUUCCCACGAUACACAGAUAAUAUAAAAUACUUAUCGAGUCCGUCUUAGUGUCAGUCCCCUGCGGCCUGUGGUGAGGACCAUGGUGAAGCAGGAUGUCCCCCUGCAGCCCAUGGAGUACCACGGUGCAGCAGGUUUCCACGCUGCAGCCAAUGGAGGAGACCACGGUGGAGCAGGUGGCCCUGCACCGAUGGAGGCUGCCGCCUGUGGAAGACCCCUGCCGGAGCAGAUUCCAGGCCGGACCUGUAGCCCGUGGAGAAGAGCCCACGCAGGAGCAGGU